CUUUGGAUAUGAAAUACUGUCUGGCCAUGCACUCCGAGAAAGCUUUGACAGCACGAUUCUCGCCAACAAAUGCAAAUACUGUUUUGAUUUGAAAUAUGGUCUGUGAUACGUGAAUUAGUAGUAAAUGUUGAGAUAUCUGUUCUGAUUGAUUUGAUAUCUAGUAGGCUUAAAAGUAAAAUUGUAAUCAAACUAAUUUCUUUUACCUCUUGUACCAUGGAUGUAGCUUGUGAUGAGUACAGCGUCUUAGCAGCAGAAGUAGAGUUCAUUUUCUUGGUGUAAGUGGCUCCAAUUACAAGGACCAGAGGAACAACCACCAAGGUUAGCAAUGCCAAUUCCCAGCUGCAUAUGGCAGCAAUCACUACUCCCGAAAAGAAAGUAGCCAAAUUUGACAGAAAAUGUGCCAUCUGCGCUUGAGGGAUUGAAGUCAGUGCUGUAUCCUUGUUAUUUUCAGAGACAACUUACAUGAGGCUAAUAAAAUAUAUGUUUUUUAAAAUGUAUAUGUAGGUACCUUUUCCCCUAUUGCAUCUUGUAUGACACUCAUAUGGCUGCUAAUUCCAGUUAUAAUCUUCCCACUUGUUAAAUCUGUGUCAAAUGCCCCUAUCUCCUGGGUAAGUACUGCUCUCAGGAAUGCUAAUCUCAUUCGCACCAAUUGUCUUUCACUUGCAUAGAUCCAGCAUCCGGUUUCUGCAAUUUCCAGAAAGAAAGAUCAAAUUGUUAGUGCAGUUAGCCAGUUGCAUUUGUUUCUCAUACUUAUUGUUGUAUUUCCUCUGUGGACCAAUUAUUGACAUACUCCUAUAUAUAUCUAUGUAGUCUCUGAAGGUAACAAGCAGACAAGGAAGAACACUAACCGGUUCGGAUGAAAUCUUUAGAAACUAAUGUGUCGCACCUGUUAGGUAUAUCUUACACUCUCAGCUUUAUACCAUUAUAAGCGAAGUGAUCAUUUUAGAAUGAAUAUAGCACUUUGUUUAGAAGCAUUUACAUAAACAUGUAUUGUUUGAAGAUAGAAACCCAAUAGAGUUCAGAAAUGAAAAGAAACUUGAGCAAAAAAUGGUAAUAUAAAAAAUUCAUCAUUCUACCAUUGGGUUGGUACGAUUUGCACUAGGCAUUUUGAUUGUGUUAAUAUGUUCCCUGCAUUAUAAGUUUUAUAUCAGUUUAACCCUUCUGUUAAUGAGAAUUACUUAUUGAAACAGAGAACAUGAGUAUAUGGCCUAAAAUAUUUCUUUUGCUUUAAUUCAACUUUGGUCUAAUCUCUCUGUUCUCAAACUCUAUCUUCAUUUCAUCUCAGUUUGUGCAACAGGAAUCUCUAGACCAAAUGAAGCAGACACGAAUUGAAACAGCCUCCAUGUCUCUCUUUAUCUUCUUCCUUUCUUUCUUCAUUUAAAUCUAUUUUAUUUUCCUUUUUUUUCCCCUCAUUCUCGCACCUGUAUUCUGACACAUCUCCUUUUUCCCCUUCUUUUUCUUUCUCCUUUUCUUCAUCACCAACAGCAACACCAUCAGAUCUAUCGCUGAUCUCUCUCUCCCCUCACAAGCCCCCCUCCACAAAACCCUCCUCUAAGACUCUUUCCUCAAAACGGACUCGGUCACUCUCUCCGUCAACUCAUCCAUUAAAAAAAAAAAAAACCACAUGUAAAAACCUCAGGUCAACGAAAUUUGGGUUAGGAAAAAGUGUGAGCUGGGGGGAAACCUCAGGUCAUUUUUCUGGCAUAUUCGGGUUUAACGUGGGUGCAUUUUUGUGAGUUGACUCACGUGCUCUGCACAUAUGUUAGUUUUAAGGUUUUGUACUUUUAAAUUUAUAUUUUGAUUUAUGGGGAAUGUCAUGUCUAAAUUAACUAAAAAUAAAUUAACGGACUGGUUAAUUUGAUAUAAAUACAAUAAUAUAAGAG
rnacentral:lncRNA from 1 species